AAGUCAAAGCCAAGAAUGGAACGGGGACCACACAUCACACGGCACAAUUAAAUGAAGGGAAAACGCUACUACGAGAGUAGCGAGACAAUGUAAAACUUACCUAUAUGCGGUUUGACUUACAGUAAAAAGUCAGGGAUGGGGCCGGCACGCUACAAACAUCGGAAGCAUCAAGACGAGGAGAGGAACGGCCGCGGUAGCCGGCCACUGGUCGACGAGACGCGGCCGCGGUUGCCGUUCAUGUCGGGUUUGUCGUGGAUGGACUGGUCGGAAUCUAGGGAGCGGCUACUUGAAUGGCGGUCUCGGUACUUGAGCGUGAGCCGGUGACCGUGCCGGCCGUGCCCGAGGUUGCUGUUCCAGAUGCCGCGGCACGAGACGGCUCCCCUGAGGUGGCCGCGGCUGACGUCGCCCGCGGAGGCCCUCCGGAAGCCGUCCUGGUAGCUGCGGCUGUCGUGGCCCCGGCGGCGUACGCGCGAGGUGUUCCUGCACCGCGAGAUGAGGCUCGACAUGGUCGAAGCGAAGAGGCUGCUCCUGAAGGAGAGGCGGAGGUCGUUGCGCGGCCUCACCCAGCUGCCGUGGUUGGACUUAGAACACGGCCGGCGGCUACGAUCCGUCAAGCUGCUCGACCAGCGGUUCGAUUGCUCUAGGGAACGUCUCCGGCGCCGUCGCGUUGGCCUGUCCAUGCGUUGCCGGCUGCACGGCACCAGCAGUGCCCUCUCGCUCGCCUGGCACAUGCCCGACCGCGUCACGUACGUCCUGUACGGCGGCCUUGCGACGGCGCGAACGGAGUUGCCUCAGCCGCGACUCUAUGCCGCCGCCUAUCCAUCGUCGUUCUACCCGCCCCGCUAAGUACCACGCGCCACGUGUGAGGCCAUGCUCUGGCCGUGGGUCAAGAAAUGCCUCCGACGGUGUCCCGUUUCCUUCCCGGUGCGUGAGGACUAAUAACGGUGUCACAUGAGCGAGAGCCAGCAGACAUGUGCAAACGAAAAGACACAGGAUAUGUAGUAUUCUGCUUCUUUUUCUCCCUUCUAUUUGAGGUGCCUCGUCGGGUUCUUGUAUCUACUUUAGGACUCCGAAACCAUCUACCUUCUAUGGCCAAGACUCAAGAGGAACAUACUAAAGAGUGUUUAGCGUCUACGAUGUCUGUUGAAGAGUGGGCCGUUUUAUAAUCCUGUCCCACCGAAACCCGGGCAAAUGUUUCCUUAAAAAGGACUGCCUGUUCUUCAUCGCUAAUUUUUUGAGCGACGUGCCAGUUCUGUUCCAGAUCACCUUAAGUUUUUACUCUAGGUUGACCAUCGUUUUGAAGUCGUGUCUGUGGAACAAUCCGACGACCCAACAACGUAGGUACUGCUUCUCUUCUAAGACUAGAUACUUAUGUACAGUUUGUUUUCGAACCUGAUGAAGUAAAAGCUAGGUUUGUCCUCCUGUAGUAAUUUGACCUACUAUGCUGAAUUUUAUCAACUUCCUUAUCGGGUUCCCGAAGAUAUGGAAGUACUCGUAAGUGCUGAUGCAUAGUAGGUAUCCCUAGACUUUCGUUCGUUAUAAGACAAUCUGAGACUCAAUUUAGGAUUCUAAAGACUAAAACCGUACCGUUCCUAUAAAGGCAGUCUACGGUGAGUUUGUUUUUGUUCGUCCGAACAACCUUGUAUACCAAUGUACCGAGGACUCAUGCGUAAACUCCCGGAGGAAAGCUAGUUCAGUCUACAAAAGUCAAAACCCCAUAACGAAGAACUCUAAUAUUCACCUUUCUCCUCACGUCCUAAAGUCGUAAUACCUCUUCCUCUUAAAGUGUUAGAAGAAGUUAUACGUACCGUCUACACCCUUCUUCUUUCUACCGUACUUAAGUAACUAGUUAGUUAACCACUACUUAUACUUGGUCCUCUGUACUACUUUAUAGAGUCCAACCGUGACUACACACAGGUUCAUUUUCGUCAUCUGGCAGGGUGAUACAGACUAUAACAACGUUACGAAUCGUCACUGCUGUAGUGACAUGGUCUCGGUUCCGUUGGUCGAAUGAGGAUAUGGUCUCAUCUACACAGUCACUUGUAGUUAAAUAGUACGUGGUCUUUACUAUAUUGGGAGUGGUGAUGACUACCAUCUAUUUACUCAUUAAAUAAAGUAAACGUUUCACACACUGAUGACCAAAACCUACAAGAAGAACAUAACUGUUUAAUUCAUCUGUCCCGUGACAAACAUAAGGUAAUCACUGAGUCUUGAAGUGGGUAAAUAGGAUAAGGACGUAUACAUUGUUCUAAAAGGUAGUAUACGUUACGUUA
rnacentral:rRNA from 1 species